rnacentral:rRNA from 1 species
UACGUAGGGGGCAAGCGUUGUCCGGAUUCAUUGGGCGUAAAGAGCGCGUAGGCGGCCAGGUAGGUCGGUUGUGAAAACUGGAGGCUCAACCUUCAGAGGUCGACCGAAACCAUCUGGCUAGAGUCCGGGAGAGGAGAGUGGAAUUCCUGGUGUAGCGGUGAAAUGCGCAGAUAUCAGGAAGAACACCCGUGGCGAAAGCGGCUCUCUGGAACGGUACUGACGCUGAGAAGCGAAAGCAUGGGGAGCGAACAGG